CCUACGGGAGGCAGCAGUGAGGAAUAUUGGUCAAUGGGCGCAAGCCUGAACCAGCCACGUCGCGUGAGGGAUGACGGUCCUCUGGAUUGUAACCCUCUUUUGUCGGGGAGCAAGGCCCGCCACGUGUGGAGGGAAGGAGAGUACCCGAAGACAAAGCAUCGGCUAACUCCGUGCCAGCAGCAGCGGUAAUACGGGGGAUGCGAGGGUUAUCCGGAUUUAUUGGGGUGAAAGGGUGCGUAGGGGGAAGGUUAAGUCAGCGGUAAAAUGUCGGUGCUCAACACCGGCCUGCAGUUGAAACUGGUGUUCUUGAGUGAGCGAGAGGUAGGCGGAAUGCGUGGUGUAGCGGUGAAAUGCAUAGAUAUUACGCAGAACUCCGAUUGCGAAGGCAGUAUACCGGCGCUCAACUGACGCUGAGGCACGAAAGCGUGGGGAUCGAACAGGAUUAGAUACCCGUGUAGUC
rnacentral:rRNA from 1 species